AUCUUAAUGAGAGUUUGAUCCUGGCUCAGGACGAACGCUGGCGGCGUGCCUAAUACAUGCAAGUAGAACGCUGAGGACUGGUGCUUGCACCGGUCCAAGGAGU
rnacentral:rRNA from 1 species